GAAAUAACUGAGAUGGGUUAUGUAAGCAUAAAAACACAUUGUCAUCGUUUGCUUCAAAAGUUUGUUUGAAAUGUUUUAAAUCCUAGAAAAUCAGGGAAGUGUCAGCAAAAUCUAUAUUUGGUAUGGCAUCGGAAAAAUCACAAGAUUAGAGUCUUCUGUUGAAACGAGGACUGAAAACAUGGCUGUUAAGAGAAGUAUGUGCUGUCGUAAGAGCCUGCAGUGAAGGAGCUGGCCUUGAUGAAGCAGCAGAACGUGAAAUGCCAAAACAGAUGGAGUUGCUUGGAUACAAGGAGAAUCUUACAGAAUACAAAUGAACUUGAAGGCAUUAGUAAUAUUUUCAAAAUAAUAGAGAAAUGACACAAAGAGUGAAAGAGGUGAAAUCUGUCUUUGAUGGGAAUAAUAUCUAAAAGGAGUAUUGUACAUAUCUGCUGGCAGCUUUAAAAAAAUUAAUGAUUACUGAAAUUCAGAAAUGUCAACAGUAUGAAAUGAGCAAAAUUACUUCCCUAACAAGAUUUUAUAAGAGAUAAAGUAGUGGGAUAUUUCCUUGAAAUAAUGUUCAUCAUCAAUGCUGAAGUU